GGGAAUGCUUCUUGGUGAACCCUCGUUCGGGACGAGGGGGUCGGAGGUUCGAAUCCUCUCACUCCGACCA
rnacentral:tRNA from 1 species